AUAAGUGUGUGUGUAUCCAAUUAAUUCAAUAUACGUAUGUGUAUUAGACCAUCUCCAACAGAUUGGUCUUUUGCCACCUGGCCUUCCAACCAAUACUUUUGAAGGUCCAAAUUGUUCUCCAACGGAUAUGCCUUAUCCACGUGGAUUUGACAUUGGCCUCUCCUCUGUCAAAUUUGACAGCGUCUUCUCCUUCUGUCUUUUAUUUUUUUUAUUGUUUCUCAGUGCGUCUCUCUCCUUCAUUCUCGCUUCUUUCUUCCUUCAUCUCACCCAGAACCGAUUUCAGCCUUCGCACUUCCAAAACUCAGCAAAUUCGACCCUAACCCAGAAAAAUGAUAAAAAUCUCUUACAACCCAUUAGUUUUCUCAAGAAUUUGGCUUUAAAGGAGAUUCUUUUCUCACUUGGAAUUCGAGUUGGAGACUUGGAGCAACCGAGCAAGAGAUUUGGAUUAUGGGAGUUCGAUUGGCAGCAAAUGAUUUGAAGAUGAGUUAAAUGCCUCACUAGAUGUGCAUGGUUUUUGCUCAGUUCGAUUGACGUUUAGCGGUUUUUGCUGGGAUCUCGAGUUUGUAUCAGUUUGUUGCUAUAUAUCAGUUUGUUGCUGGGAAGACGAGUUUGUAUCAGUUUGUUGCUAUAUAUCAGUUUGUUGCUAUCAAAUUCAAGCUGUUUCUGUUUGUUGCUAGUUGACUGCUACUUUUUUUUUGCUGUUUCUGUUUCUGUUUCCUGCUAUGUAUUCCCAUCUUGAUGUAUUCUCAUAAUCUCAAUUGCAUCUCUUUUCUCAUAA